rnacentral:tRNA from 1 species
AAGGGUAUAGCUCAAGUGGUAGAGCGCAUGCUUAGCAUGCAUGAGGUCCUGGGUUCAAUCCCCAGUACCUCCU